rnacentral:misc_RNA from 1 species
GAAAACAAAUAGAUGAAUGGUGGAGAACAGUGACCAAAGGGGACCGCAUGAUUGAUUACAUGAAUAUGGAUGAUAGAUCGAUUGGAAUGUUUUGGGUUGUGUCCUACACUAUGGCACAGCCAGCUUGUGAAACAGUGGUGAACUGGUUGUCCUCUGGUGGAGUUUCUGAGCUUUUACCAGGAGCAAAUAUGCAGUCCAAUGAGAGGUUAAUGGUGAUGAGGGAAGUAAGCCCAUUACCAAUGUCAUUAUUAUCUGGCCUUUCACUGAAUCUAUGUUUGAAGUUGGUCUUCCAACUAGAAGAUUCUUUAUUUGCUGGGCAGGUACUGCAAUUUUUUCUUGCUUAUCUCCAAGUUAAUAUUUGGGAUAGGAUCCUAAAAUCUUAUAGAUGAAAUUUAUGGUUGUUUGCAAUCAGUGUCUUCCAUGAAUGCCUAGAAUAAUGUUAUAAGAAGCUGCUAUGAGGAAGAUGCUGGAUACUGCACACAAGGUUGAGGGAAUAAUAACAUGACAGAUAAGACAGAGAGAGAGAGAGAGGUGAAAGGCACAAGAGGAGAUGUUUGUUAACGGAAGCCUGGCUAGGUGGUGAUUGGGGUGGAAAGGGGAAAGUGGGGAAUGGGAAGCAUUCUCUUUAUGAUAUGUAGAAGAUGCUAUCCACAUCUAUAAUUUUAGUCACAUUGUUUCUUUUCAUUAUCCUAUCCAAAGAAUUUUCCAUUAGAAUAAUAAAAUUUGCUUAAACUAUUAGUUUUCUUUUCAAAAAUGAAAAAAAAUAGGAAAAAAAAGUAGAAAUGAGAAAUAAUAAAUCACGAAAUAUGGUUUUUCAAAUUGCUUCAAAUGUUUUUCAUUAGGUCCUCUACCACCACAUCGGAGUUACUGGCUAACCCUGCACUGCUACCUGUCCGCCACCAUUGAUUGUUAUCAUCAUUUUAUUGCCAUUAUUAGUCACCAAAAUCCAUCAAUAGCAGAAUCAACACCACCGCUAUGAAGACCUACUACAUCUACCAUCAUGACCAAAAUGCCUCAACACCAUUAAAUAUUUCAUUUCCACUACUAUUCACACCACAGUCAUCAUACCACUAACUUCUCCGAUCAAUUCUACAAUUACUUCGCACUACCGUCAUUGCCUUGAUGGUUUUAUUUAGUUUUAUAUAAUUUAAAAUGACCGAAGAGUUUUUAGAAAAUAAAACAGAAAACUAUAAGCUGUUUUGGUUUUCUAAUUUACAAAAAGAAAGGGUUGUAAUGGUCCCAAAGGAGACAUAUUCAUUCCCUUCUACGCUUUUGUAGUAUAAAUAUUGAAGCAUGCAAUGCUCAUUUCGAAAAAUACUAUCUAAAAGAAAGUGCAUAUUAUGCUAUAUAAUAAAUUUCCAUUUGCUCAGGAUCAUGAAAUGAAUAUGAUGAAGACAUUAAACAGGAAAAAGCAUCAACAAUGCUUAAAAAAAUUUUAGCAAGGGGAAUUAUUCAUGAUUUAUGAUGAACUGAAAACUUGUGGUUAGCUGCUUAUGCCUUGGGAAACAAGUUGAUGACAGAAGGAUGAAAAAAAUGAAUGUGUUAUGAGGAUAGCAUAGAAUUAACUGAUUUCUAAAACAUUGUAGGAAGCGUUUUAAAGCUUAUGGUCUCUCCCUGACCUUUAUUAUCAUCAAAUGAUAUGUUCUGAGUGGAUAUGUACAAUUUAUGAUGAGACAAAGGAAUUAUUUGUGCUUUAAUUGUUACUUCCAGGAUUUUAUGACUUCUUACUGUAUGUUAGGGCAUGGGCUGUCAAUUCUUCAGAAUAGAAGUGAUUAUACCCAGUUAUUGAUUUCACAACUUAUUAGUUUCUGUGAUAAAGAACAAGCAACAUGCAUUAGAAAAUGCAUCUAUUCAGCACUCUGAAAGUUCGUGUCUAAUAUACUUUCUAUAUGAAGUAGAGACUAUAUAUCAUGAACCCAAGGCUAUUUUUCUUUUUUCCUUCCUGUGAUUUAGUCUAAUAAAAAAUUUUCAGUUGCUAGGAUCGAAUAGUUUCUAGUGUUGAUACUAGUUCAUCAGAUGUCUACUAGUUUGACAAUUGCUUUUGAUAUGAUUCUAAUGUUUG